CAUGGAAGCAGGUACAGGUGCA
rnacentral:miRNA from 1 species